GGGUGACAUAUGUGAUUCUCACUUUGUGAAACUGCUUUUUGAAACAGAGAAAAUAGAUAUAGUACUACAUUUUGCCGCACAAACACAUGUAGAUCUUUCAUUCGUACGUGCCUUUGAGUUUACCUAUGUUAAUGUUUAUGGCACUCACGUUUUGGUAAGUGCUGCUCAUGAAGCCAGAGUGGAGAAGUUUAUUUAUGUCAGCACAGAUGAAGUAUAUGGUGGCAGUCUUGAUAAGGUAAACUUCUUUCUUCAUGCACCCUGCCACCCUACAUCAGAUCCAACACAGUAGCCAGAGUGAUUUUUAAAAUGAAUUUGAUGAAUCUUCACCCAAACAACCUACAAAUCCUUAUGCAUCAUCUAAAGCAGCUGCUGAAUGUUUUGUACAGUCUUACUGGGAACAAUAUAAGUUUCCAGUUGUCAUCACAAGAAGCAGUAAUGUUUAUGGACCACAUCAAUAUCCAGAAAAGGUUAUUCCAAAAUUUAUAUCUUUGCUACAGCACAACAGGAAAUGUUGCAUUCAUGGGUCAGGGCUUCAAACAAGAAACUUCCUUUAUGCUACUGAUGUUGUAGAAGCAUUUCUCACUGUCCUCAAAAAAGGGAAACCAGGUGAAAUUUAUAACAUCGGAACCAAUUUUGAAAUGUCAGUUGUCCAGCUUGCCAAAGAACUAAUACAACUGAUCAAAGAGACCAAUUCAGAGUCUGAAAUGGAAAAUUGGGUUGAUUAUGUUAAUGAUAGACCCACCAAUGACAUGAGAUACCCAAUGAAGUCAGAAAAAAUACAUGGCUUAGGAUGGAGACCUAAAGUGCCUUGGAAAGAAGGAAUAAAGAAAACAAUUGAAUGGUACAGAGAGAAUUUUCACAACUGGAAGAAUGUGGAAAAGGCAUUAGAACCCUUUCCGGUAUAAUCACCAUUUAUAUAGUCGAGACAGUUGUCAAAGAAGAAAGUUAUCCUACCUCGCCAAGUGGUAUGAAAUUAAGUGACCAAAUGAAGUGCACUCUUUUCUUUUGGAAUUAGAUUCAUGACUUUCUGUAUAAAAUUCAAAUGCAGAAUGCCUCAAUCUUUGGGAGAGUUUCAGUACUGGCAUAGAAUUUAAAUGUCAAAAUUCUUUCUGAAACCCUUUCUCCUAGAAACUAGGAAAUAAUAGGUGUAGAAGACUCUCCCUAAGGGUAGCCAGGAAGAAGUCUCCUGAUUCGGACAACCAUGAGGGGUAGUGGUGCUAGGGAGAAGGCAACCUUCACUGGUUUUGAACUCAGUGCCUAAGAAAGUCUCUGAAAUGUUCGUUUUUAGGCAAUAUAGGAUGUCUUAGGCCCUAAUUCACCAUUUCUUUUUUAAGAUCUGAUAUGCUAUCAUUGCCUUAAUAAUGGAACAAAAUAGAAGCAUAUCUAACACUUUUUAAAUUGAUAAUUUUGUAAAAUUGAUUACGUUGAAUGCUUUUUAAGAGAAGUGUGUAAAGUUUUUAUAUUUUCACAAUUAACGUAUGUAAAACCUUGUAUCAGAAAUUUAUCAUGUUUACUGUUUAAAAUGAUUGUAUUUAUAAAAUUGUCAAUAUCUUAAUGUAUUUAAUGUAGAAUAUUGCUUUUUAAAAUAAU
rnacentral:lncRNA from 10 species